rnacentral:rRNA from 1 species
ACGCAGUCGACCGCUCAUCUAUUCUCUCCACACGACCCUGAUCCUAAUCCCUAAGCUCUAGCGUGGCGGCGGUGGCUAGCCAGGUCGCCUGCAGCAGGCGGGGCAGCCAACGGCAAGGCAGCCAACGGCAGGGCAGCCAACAGCGGCUAUAGUCUGGGGGGCUAGAGGGCGCCGGCACAGCGGCAGCAAGCGGCAGCCCCAGCCGGGGCCUAGGCGCCUCACAGUAGAAACAGCAGUCCGGACGUCCGGGCGUCCGGCUACUUCUGAUUCCGGCGCAGUUCCGGCCAGAUUGCCCGAAGAUGGAAAGGAAGAGGGAGGAAAUAUGAAAUCCAAAGGAAAGGGGAUGAGAUUUGAAAAAAUAUUUUGAAAUGCUUGGCAGUAGCAGCAGCUCAAAAUCGAACCCAAAUACCCGUGAAAGUGUCAAUGUUUCGGCACCUGCCACUCAUCAAGAUCAAGUGAGUUCCAUGGAAAUAGAGCAUGAAAAAUCGAUGCAAACAGAACAAGUGGAAGAACAAAUUACAUAUUCUCUUGAAGCUAUAGUGGAAGAACAAACUACAGAUUCUAUUGAAGCUAUAGUUUUAGGCUGUUUUUCUAUUGAAACAUGUCUACAAUUUCAUUGUAUUUUGUUAUUUGUUUGUAGUGUGCAUUGUUAGUGUGUAUUGACCUCCUUUGAUUCCCAUAAAUAAAAAAUUUAGGGAGACUUCGCCCCACCUUAA